rnacentral:rRNA from 1 species
UGGGGAAUAUUGCACAAUGGGCGGAAGCCUGAUGCAGCGACGCCGCGUGGGGGAUGAAGGCCUUCGGGUUGUAAACUCCUUUCGACAGGGACGAAGCUUUUGUGACGGUACCUGUAUAAGAAGCACCGGCUAACUACGUGCCAGCAGCCGCGGUAAUACGUAGGGUGCGAGCGUUGUCCGGAAUUACUGGGCGUAAAGAGCUCGUAGGUGGUUUGUCGUGUCGUCUGUGAAAUUCCGGGGCUUAACUCCGGGCGUGCAGGCGAUACGGGCUGACUUGAGUGCUGUAGGGGAGACUGGAAUUCCUGGUGUAGCGGUGAAAUGCGCAGAUAUCAGGAGGAACACCGAUGGCGAAGGCAGGUCUCUGGGCAGUAACUGACGCUGAGGAGCGAAAGCAUGGGUAGCGAACAGGAUUAGAUACCCUGGUAGUCCAUGCCGUAAACGGUGGGCGCUAGGUGUAGGGGGCUUCCACGUCUUCUGUGCCGUAGCUAACGCAUCAAGCGCCCCGCCUGGGGAGUACGGCCGCAAGGCUA